UGGAUUCACAUCCAUCUUUUUCCACGGAGAGUAACUUGGUUUGUUGCCCUCCUUGAUUUUGGGCUCAGUUGGUUUGUGAAUUUUUCUGCAGAACCAAUCAAUCUAACUGGGUUCCCCCACUUUCCAAGAAAUUCCUGGAAUCAUUCUGGUUGAAUCAAUAUUUAUUGCUUCUUGGUUUUUUCUCAAUGAAUCAUUCUGGUUGAAUAUAUAUAUAUUUUGCAGUUGGCUUGGGUCCUACUGUUACUUCUCAUAUACGAAUCAACUUGACCUCUGGGUGUUCUAUCAUUAGCCUUUUGGUUAUUCUAGAAAAAAAAAUGAUUAAAAUUUCCUGGAAAUUGUUGAUUGGGGUUUAAUGGCAUUUUCCUUCAUUGAUCUGGUGCGGUUGUCCCAACUCCCUUCCACUGUGCUAUAAAUUUACGUACAAGCAUAGAAAUAGCAACCAAUACCAUUCACACAUGUUCUAAGUUUAUUUCUAUGCUGAUCUCCUUUCUGGUUGUUAAGACCUUAGGAGACUGUGAAGAUGCCUUAUCACCAAUUCGAGAAGGAAGCCUCAAGGAGGAAACAGAGCCAAAUAGCCCAAAUAGCCAAACUGCUGAGAUCACUCCUGCUACACUAGACUGCAAUCAAUAUGCUACAAAUUGAUUUCCAAACAAAAAUUUCUGAUGACUUGCACACUUCACAUAUUGGGAAUGCUGCUGUUCAAGAGGCCCUGAGAUCUAUAAAUAGUUAUCUGAACAAACUCAAGAAAAAGCAGCAGAAGCAACAACAAUGAGCAGCUAUCCAGUCCUUAAUUGAAAUAGAAAACGAAGUCAAGGAGGUUCUGAAUGUUCUGGAAUUGUUGUUGACUUUGGCCUAUUAUGAGAUGAUGAGGGAAAAGGUUUUGCAGCACUUGAAAGAUAAGGUAUUAAAGAGAGGGGGUGGUGAAAGAUAACGUGUUCCAUCUUAUUGAAGAGAGAGCACUAGCAAGGAUAAACAAGGAUUUCUUGAAGGGUUGGCUGCUGAGGGCAUUGCACUCAUGGAUGCAGGCAAGGAAAAAAUCUAGGGGGCCUUCUGUUCCAGUUGAACAAGAAAAGCAGGCACAAUCCUCUUUAGCUUAAUGGUGGGCAACCUUAUUCCAGAUCUAACUCGUUACUUUCCACUGAAGUCCGGUUCGAUUCUUAAAUUUCUUGUUUGAGACGAUAAAAAUUUUAAUAUAAGUUUUCAUCUAGAUGCUAACUUAUGUUGACA